GGGGAGUACGCACGCAAGUGUGAAACUCAAAGGAAUUGACGGGGGCCCGCACAAGCGGCGGAGCAUGCGGAUUAAUUCGAUGCAACGCGAAGAACCUUACCAAGGCUUGACAUUCACCGGACCGCCCCAGAGAUGGGGUUUCCCUUCGGGGCUGGUGGACAGGUGGUGGCAUGGUUGUCGUCAGCUCGUGUCGUGAGAUGUUGGGUUAAGUCCCGCAACGAGCGCAACCCUCGUUCUAUGUUGCCAGCACGUGAUGGUGGGGACUCAUAGGAGACUGCCGGGGUCAACUCGGAGGAAGGUGGGGAUGACGUCAAAUCAUCAUGCCCCUUAUGUCUUGGGCUUCACGCAUGCUACAAUGGCCGGUACAAAGGGUUGCGUAUACUGUGAGGUGGAGCGUAAUCCCGAAAAGCCGGUCUCAAGUUCGGAUUGAGGUCUGCAACUCGACCUCAUGAAAGUCGGAGUCGACUAGUAAUCGCAAGAUCAGCAACGCUGCGGUGAAAUCCGUUCCCGGGCUUGUACCACCCCGGUCGACGCGGCCCGG
rnacentral:rRNA from 1 species